rnacentral:rRNA from 1 species
CCUACGGGAGGCAGCAGUGAGGAAUAUUGGUCAAUGGGCGCGAGCCUGAACCAGCCAAGUCGCGUGAAGGAAGAAUGCCCUACGGGUUGUAAACUUCUUUUAUAGAGGAGUAAAGUGAGGCACGUGUGCCUUUUUGUAUGUACUUUAUGAAUAAGAGUCGGCUAACUCCGUGCCAGCAGCCGCGGUAAUACGGAGGAUCCGAGCGUUAUCCGGAUUUAUUGGGUUUAAAGGGAGCGUAGAUGGGUUGUUAAGUCAGUUGUGAAAGUUUGCGGCUCAACCGUAAAAUUGCAAUUGAUACUGGCAGCCUUGAGUACAGUAGAGGUAGGCGGAAUUCGAGGUGUAGCGGUGAAAUGCGUAGAUAUCACGAAGAACUCCGAUGGCGAAGGCAGCUUACUAAACUGCCACUGACAUUGAUGCUCGAAAGUGUGGGUAGCAAACAGGAUUAGAUACCCGUGUAGUC